GGCAAUGUUGUGAUCAUUCCCCUGAACCUCCUCCUCUCGUGGAAAGUGUAAUUGACACACAAUGCAUACCCAGGUGCGGUAGUCCCUACCAUUAAAAAUAAGGUUGCUGUGGCACAUUACCUGGUUGUGUAUCAUCAAGACCAUAUCAGUCCAAGGGAAAAUAUAAUGAACACAAAUGAGUGAGUGCUCAGCUACAGUUUCAGACAAAUGGCUGAAUUUUCCAGGUUUUCUGUUCAGUGAACAAAUUACCACAUGGACACAGAAGUUGCUGCAGAAGUGGCCUUGGUGUUCAAGUAAGACAGAAAGGCAAAUUUCAGAUUUUUUUUUUUUUUUUAAUCCUCAGGAUAAGAUGUAGCUAGUGCAGUAGGUCAGGUUUAUAACCAGCCUAGCUAACUGCCUUUCAUCUUGUUCCUCUGAAGAUGUUGAGCUUCUGGGAUUGUCACUGCCUUGGUUUACUGCCUCCUCACUGCGGGUAUCCUCUGAACUUUGUAAUACAGGACUGGUAGAUUCAGACCAACUGCUGCUCGAGCCAAACCCAAAGGUCCCAUCGAGACAAAUUAAAGGGCUGUUCUUGUAACUGUCAUUCAACUUAUGAAAGUCCCAGCCAGGGUAAUAAAUGCAAAUUGUGCAGAAAUGUUUGCGUGGAUAUUUCCACCUUUGGAAGUCUUCACAUGUGCAAUUAGGCUUUGCAAAAUUCACCACAUAGUAACAAUCCUUGGCCUCUGCACUUUCUACACAAAAUAAUCCCUCACCAAUUUAUUUCACUGAGCUUUCGGUAAGUCCAGUUUGCACUGAAGAAUACCUUUUCAUUACGUGAUUCACAAAUUCGUGUGACUUGUUAUGCAAGAAGUGAGGAAUCGCUCUGCUGUAAGAUUUCACAGCUGAAUUCUUCAGACAAUAUUUUUUAAACAGGCUAGAGAGAAAAUCAUUUAUUAAAACUUUAACAACACCUGUCAAUGUUUUAUCUGCUGAAAGUCUAAGAAAAAAAUGUUUCACUCUUUUAUUUAGUGAUUCACCACCAUUAGUAGCAGUUAUAUUGGCGAAGAAAUUCUCCUUGUUCUCAUAGGCCUUCACCCACCUUUCAGAUAAUGAAAGCCAUUGCUUAUCAAAAUAAUCAAGUGCACCAGAAUUUCUAGUUAAUAAUUCAUGAGAUUGAAGGUUUUGUUUUGCAGUUAAGAAUUUUUCUUCAGAUGGUGACUCUGCAAUUUCUUCCCACAGCUUCAGA